GAAUUCACUAGUGAUUAGAGUUUGAUCCUGGCUCAGGAUGAACGCUGGCGGUCUGCUUAACACAUGCAAGUCGAACGGGCUCUUCGGGGCUAGUGGCGGACGGGUGAGUAACGCGUGAGAAUCUGCCUAGAGGACGGGGACAACCACUGGAAACGGUGGCUAAUACCCGAUGUACCGAGAGGGAAAAGGAGUAAUCGCCUGUAGAGGAGCUCGCGUCUGAUUAGCUAGUUGGGGAGGUAAAGGCUCACCAAGGCAACGAUCAGUAGCUGGUCUGAGAGGAUGAGCAGCCACACUGGGACUGAGACACGGCCCAGACUCCUACGGGAGGCAGCAGUGGGGAAUUUUCCGCAAUGGGCGCAAGCCUGACGGAGCAAGACCGCGUGAGGGAGGAAGGCUCUUGGGUUGUAAACCUCUUUUCUUUGGGAAGAAGCAAGUGACGGUACCAAAGGAAUAAGCCUCGGCUAACUCCGUGCCAGCAGCCGCGGUAAUACGGAGGAGGCAAGCGUUAUCCGGAAUCAUUGGGCGUAAAGCGUCCGCAGGUGGCACUUCAAGUCUGCUGUCAAAGGCUGGGGCUUAACCCUAGAAAGGCAGUGGAAACUGAAGAGCUAGAGUACGAUAGGGGUAGAGGGAAUUCCCGGUGUAGCGGUGAAAUGCGUAGAGAUCGGGAAGAACAUCGGUGGCGAAAGCGCUCUACUGGGUCGUAACUGACACUGAGGGACGAAAGCUAGGGGAGCGAAUGGGAUUAGAUACCCCAGUAGUCCUAGCUGUAAACGAUGA
rnacentral:rRNA from 1 species